rnacentral:rRNA from 1 species
GACGAACCGUGCGAACGUUGUUCGGAAUCACUGGGCUUAAAGGGCGCGUAGGCGGGCUGCCAAGUCCGGGGUGAAAUCUUUCGGCUCAACCGGAAAAUAGCCUCGGAGACUGGCGGUCUGGAGUGAGGUAGGGGCAGCUGGAACUUCCGGUGGAGCGGUGAAAUGCGUUGAUAUCGGAAGGAACGCCGGUGGCGAAAGCACUCUGCUGGGCCGACACUGACACUGAGAGACGAAAGCUAGGGGAGCAAAUGGG